AGUGAUUGGCAUCCGGUAUCCACUUUUAUUUCUUUGUUUGAGGAGAUUAGUGUAAGUCCAUAGAGUGGCCUCUGAUAUCCAAUUCUGUUUUAGGAGAUUGGUAUAAGCCCAGUGAUUGGCAUCCGGUAUCCGCUUUUGUUGACUUUCUUCUUUGUUUGUUUGUUAUUAUCCAUUGCCUAUUCCAAAGGACACACUUGAAUCAUCUCCUAUAUGAUCUCAAGAAGCGAACCUUCUAAGAAUUUUUACAAUCCAUCUUCAUCCAUUCAUCCCCAUUAUGUCCUAAACCUUUUCACACUUUGAUUUCAAACUUGAGAUAGAUAUUGUGCAAACAUCUUCAUGUUUUCAAACCAAAAACCUGGACCCCAAG
rnacentral:lncRNA from 1 species